UUGGAAAACACCAAGUUGUUGGGUGAACUUGCAAAAUCCAAAAGUUGUAAUCUUGAAGAUUAUAAUGGAGUACUCAAGUAUGAUAUUGAAGAGUGGAUGUAGGGAGGAUUAUUCCCAAACCACUAUAAGUCUAUGUGUCAAUUCUUUUAACCCUAACUCUCUUUCAGUUCUCUACUAUUUCUUAAAAUCCUUGUGCGCCUCCUAAGUUUAUCAAAUUCCGUAAUUUGGGGUCACCAAUUCAAUCCCCCUUCUUAGUUCCAAGGGACAACAAAGACU
rnacentral:lncRNA from 1 species